UUCGCAAGACUGAACAGAAUCAAACUCGUAUGAUGAGCAAGAUUGAUCAACUCAUGAGGAAAAGUGGCUUAGUGAGCCAGACAACAGAAUUUAGAAGUGAAGUUGGAUGAUCCAAGAAUGUGUUACCAACAAUUUAAGCACAAUUGGGGGCUCCACUUUUAAAGAAGCAACUUGGUAUAACUUAUGCCACAUUUUAACCAAUGGGUAU